rnacentral:rRNA from 1 species
UGGAGAGUUUGAUCCUGGCUCAGAUUGAACGCUGGCGGCAGGCUUAACACAUGCAAGUCGAGCGGGGAAAGGUAGCUUGCUACUGGACCUAGCGGCGGACGGGUGAGUAAUGCUUAGGAAUCUGCCUAUUAGUGGGGGACAACAUUCCGAAAGGAAUGCUAAUACCGCAUACGUCCUACGGGAGAAAGCAGGGGACCUUCGGGCCUUGCGCUAAUAGAUGAGCCUAAGUCGGAUUAGCUAGUUGGUGGGGUAAAGGCCUACCAAGGCGACGAUCUGUAGCGGGUCUGAGAGGAUGAUCCGCCACACUGGGACUGAGACACGGCCCAGACUCCUACGGGAGGCAGCAGUGGGGAAUAUUGGACAAUGGGGGGAACCCUGAUCCAGCCAUGCCGCGUGUGUGAAGAAGGCCUUAUGGUUGUAAAGCACUUUAAGCGAGGAGGAGGCUACUAGUAUUAAUACUACUGGAUAGUGGACGUUACUCGCAGAAUAAGCACCGGCUAACUCUGUGCCAGCAGCCGCGGUA